CAGCGCCCACGGGAAGAACCUGCGCGUCGCCGUCUGCAGGAGCCCCGGCCCAGGAAAGGCGCCGCCGGGGUCCAGUGAGCGCGUGGGGCCGCGAGAGCGAGAGGAAACUUCCUUUUCGGGCCUGACUGCGGAGGGGAGCUUUGCCGCGGCUUCGCACAGUCUUUCAUUUUCUGCACCUGCCUCUGCGUCCAUCCUUCCCUUCCUGGGACAUCAUGACAUCCUCAAAAAAUACACACACACUUCUAAGAAGAUGUGACAAUCUGCACUGAUAUGAGCUGCAAGAGAAAAACUGUUUGCUUGGAAGUGCUUUUUCACAGCCAUUAUGGGGUCUUCACAGCUCAGGGGCGUCCUUCCAUACCCAACUA